rnacentral:sRNA from 1 species
GAACUCUGCUUCAGUUCCUGCCUCCAGGUUCCUACGCAGACUUCCUGCCUUGACUUCCCUUAAUGAUGGACUGAAAUGUUGAAAUGUAAGCCAAAUAAACACUUUGCUCUCCCAACUUGGAUAGGAUCAUGCUAUUUAUUCAAACAACAGGGAAGCAAAUUAGGGCAGGAAUCCAAGGUUACCCUAGCAAGCUGAAGGCUAGCCUGAGUUAAUGGGACUGUGUUGAAAAACAAGGCUUAGGCAAGUAGUUCAGAGGUACAGUUCUUGUCUGGCAUGCUCAGAGCCCAAAGUCAAUUCCUAGCACUGUGAGAAACAAAAAUGAAUUAACACAACAGCAGGUUUGCAUGUUUGAGUCCCGCCUCAACUACCCUGUGGUAUGAGCCUGAGCUAGCCCCAGAUUGUCUGUCAUGGUAUGGAAAGAGAUUCCCUCAACUUUAGGCAAUUUCUGUUAUAGUUAAAAUAUGUUAGAUGUUGCACGUCGAGGGAAUAUUUUUCAAGCUUUAAAAUGCCACAGACUGUUAACCUGUUUGUUAAGUAACACAUUCAUUGGCCCAUCCACAUAACUCAUUGACAGUUGUCUCCCAGUCAGAUACUUGUGACUUGGAAAAUCAAACUUAAGAACCUGGAAAGGUUGGUAAAUUUCGAAGGCAGAACAAGAGUAAGAAGCGAGUUUUAGAAUCAAAGGUGGUCAGCGUGCUGAGAGGCAUCUCAGGCUGAGGAAAGGCAGGUAAUGUCAAGAAGGAGCAGAAAAGGCUUGGCCGGGGGUCAGAGGCUUGAAGGGCAUGGGAACCCACAUGGUGUAUUGCCCCACCUCUAGAGGAGAGAGAACGAACUACUUCUGUUCUUGAAGACUACAGGAUAGUCCGACAACAUUUUGAUGGAUAAUGAACGAGGGAGCAGGAUUCUCACUCAGAAACCGGCCGUUAUGGUCUCGUUGAUGUCUACUGGAAAACUCACAUCUGUAAACCCUGAGCCCCAGCACGAUGGCAUUUCAAUGACAGGGUCUAACGAAAGUAACUAAGGAUGUACGCAUUCAUGUCCGACAUGAAGAAAGCAGUUUGGACAAGCAAGGACUGUCUCUUUCAUCAAGGAUCACCUCCGGGAUGUAGAACUCUCCAGCACCCUGUCUGCCUAUUUGCCACAAUGCUUCCCAUCAUGAGGAUAAUAAUGGACUAAACAUCCGAACUCUACCAAGUCCAUUCGCCUUUGUCUUCUGGAUCCUGGAGAAUACUCAAGACAAUUGGAGAUAUCCGUCCUCAUGGACUGAACAACUACUGGAUUUCUGGAUCUUCUGUUCAUAGACGGCCAUCUUUGGAUUAGCUGGACCAUAGCCUGUAAGUCAUCCUACAAAACUUUCUAUGUAUAGAGAGGUCCGUUUUAUAGCUUCUGUUACUCUAGGGAUGAAUGUCAUUCAUCAAAAAUCUUUCCUGAGACAGCAUUUUCCUGAAGUCAGUACAGAUGCACAAGGUUGCAUUCCAUACUGCUUAUAAACGGUGUCAUUUACGUUAGUCAACUGGGUAAGAAGGUGAGGCUAAGCUCUAACAAGUUAGAGAGGCGUAGGAAUGAACUGCUU